CUGCCAACCUGGCGUGGGGGUUACCGUGAUCAAGAAGGCGGUUCCCCCAGGGCGAGGCCUUGUCAUUGCACUUCGACUUGGUUGACCCCUGCGAAUGCCCCAAAUGUGGGCAUCUCGGGCGCAUAAUUUUUACACUAAAAAUGAUAGUUUACUAUCCAUAUUG